rnacentral:misc_RNA from 1 species
AACGCACGAGACCUGCGGACCUGCGGAAGGAUCAUUACAAGUGACCCCGGUCUAACCACCGGGAUGUUCAUAACCCUUUGUUGUCCGACUCUGUUGCCUCCGGGGCGACCCUGCCUUCGGGCGGGGGCUCCGGGUGGACACUUCAAACUCUUGCGUAACUUUGCAGUCUGAGUAAACUUAAUUAAUAAAUUAAAACUUUUAACAACGGAUCUCU